rnacentral:misc_RNA from 1 species
CAUAAGACCCGGUCCAAUUGGUGGCCGAAUCGGCCGGAUUUGGCCGGGGAAGUCGAAACGGCGCGCGCGCGCAGGGGAGCGUUUCGCGCGCGUUUUUCCGGCCGUUUGGGCGGCGGCCGGCCGGCUGGGAGGGCUGGGCGGCGGCGCCGGUCGGCUGGGGGGCUGGGCAGGUGGCUGGCCGGCGGCUGGGGGUGGGGAGGAGAGAGAAAAGAGAGAG